GCCGGGUGUUGUGGCGGGCGCCUGUGGUCCCAGCUACUUGGGAGGCGGAGGCAGGAGACUUACUUGAGCCCAGGAGUUAGAGGUUGCUGUGAGCUGAGAUGCCACGGCACUCUACCCGGGGGACAGCUUGAGGCUCCUGUCUCAAAAAAAAAAAAAGAAACUUUAUUAAAGGACAAAGUUAUAGUCUCAUACACUAUUGAAGGGACCAUACACUUUAUUUGUUUAUUCAUUUAUUUUUGAGACAGAGUCUCAAGCUGUUACCCUGGGUAGAGGGUUGUGGCAUCAUAGCUCACAGCAACCUCAAACUCUUG
rnacentral:sRNA from 1 species